GCGUUUAUCAUCAAUAUUUUUUCAUUUGAAUUAGACUAGCAUCCAAUUAUUAAUAACAAUAGUUGGAAUUAGGAUCCCACACCAGCCAAUACGUCGGCACCGCUUACAAAAAUAUAUUCAACAAUAAAAAAAACAAAAGCAGUCUGGAUGGCUUGGAAACUAAUCUUCCGAAUGUGAACCCAAACAAAACAACUCUUUCUCUACGC
rnacentral:lncRNA from 1 species